rnacentral:rRNA from 1 species
CCCUGCCAUUUGUACACACCGCCCGUCGCUUCUACCGAUGAAUGAUCCGGUGAACACUUUGGACUUGUGUCUGUUCUGGGGCAACUCAGUCGGAUAACGAGGAAGUUGUGUAAACCUUAUCAUUUAGAGGAAGA